GACGUAGGGCGCGAGCGUUGUCCGGAUUUAUUGGGCGUAAAGAGCUCGUAGGCGCUUGUCGCGUCGACUGUGAAAACCCGCGGCUCAACCGCGGGCCUGCAUUCAUAUCGGGCAGGCUAGAGUUCGGUAGGGGAGACUGGAAUUCCUGGUGUAGCGGUGAAAUGCGCAGAUAUCAGGAGGAACACCGAUGGCGAAGGCAGGUCUCUGGGCAUUAACUGACGCUGAGGUAGCGAAAGCAUGGGGGAGCGAACAGG
rnacentral:rRNA from 1 species